rnacentral:lncRNA from 1 species
CUCCACCAAGUCAUUACGGUUUAUGGAUUUGAUGUUUUCAGUGGGUCCUAAAAUUGUCCUUCCGAGGGCAGUUUUCUGAUAGGCUGUGGCGUGAAGGUAAUCAAAGACAACUUCCUGUAAAUUGGUUUCAACCUCUUGCAUCUCUCGGAGUAUAACUCCUCGCUCACGCUCAAUCUCUGCUUCUCCCAGGGUGCUGUUCUGGAUUAUGUCAGCAAGGAUUUCCACAGCUCUUGGUAAAUCUUUUGAAAAAGCCUUUGCAUAAUACACUGUUUGUUCCCUUGAUGUAUAGGCAUUCAGAUGAGCUCCCAUGUUCUCAAUCUCCAGUUCAAGGUCUAACUGAGAUCUCUUUUUUGUACCCUUGAAAGCCAUAUGCUCAAGAAAGUGAGCAGUUCCAUUGUUCUUCUCAUUUUCAUACCGGCUUCCAGCAUCAAUCCAAAGUCCAACUGUGCAUGUUGAAAGUCCAGAGUCUUCAGAAGCCACCUGCAAGCCAUUCUCCAGAGGACUCACACGAGUCUCAGGAACAUUUAAGACUACUUCUGUUGCUGCCUGGACAGCUCUGAAUCUGCCUUUUCCCACAUGUACACACCGGUUCCCCGAGCCGGACGGCCGAGCGAGGCGAGCGCACCAGGGCAGGAAGAGCCGCCGCGCCGCUAAGCGCCCGGUAGACGCCGCCAUCUUCGCCAGCGGAUAGGCGGGGCUGAGGCGCGCUUCCGGCGGGCGCUGCGCGGGCGCAGAGCGGCGCUGUCGCCUCCUUUCUGUGAGAUGGGAGGUGUGUGCGUGCUGUCGGCUUUGGGGCAGCCUCGGCGCGUUGCUCGUAUUCCAGGAGAUCAGUUAUUAAAUCGGCAGUGAACACCAUCCCCCUUCUCUCUCUGCCAUUUUCUUGAUAAAAUUCCGCCUCGCAGCGGGUUUCCCCCCUCAGAGCGCCCUGUCCCCGGAGCGGGGUCGGCCCUCAGUGGUGACACCGAGCGCAGACGCCAUGGCGUGUAGGGGGGCGGUCUGCAGCGGGGGGGCCACUGGCGGGUCCGGGCGGGCUGCCGGGGAGCCAGAAGUCCGUGUUCUUCACAGAAGCAAUGCUUCAUCAUAGCUAAAAUCAGUAGGAUGCUCAAGCAAGCCGUGUUCAACGUCAGCUGCUCCAGAGCUGGUCAGCUGUAAACUGCAAAACAGGCCUAAGUCUCAACCACUCUCCCCUCCUCGUGCUGCUCCACAGAACUGUACUAUUCAGGAAAGUCAGUUUUCCUCCUAGUAAACUAUUAUUGGCAGUUUCUGUAACACCAAGCUGGAUGUUUUCUCUGUGCAGUGCUGUGUGUAGAGCUGAUGUCUGCUGAGCUUCCUGUCGCCAUGCAGCACUGAGUUAGGAUAGGCCGUUGUGUUUCUUAUCAGAUAGAAGCAAUCCAACUAGGAAAAUCCAGGCUAAUCAUCUGAAAUCUUGUUUUACAAAGUGUUCUGAACAUAAGGAAUGUGUCCGAGAGGCUGGACUACCAGGAGGUUUCAUCCAUGCCAGGAAAUGCAGUUCCUGACACAGGGAGCGGCCCCGUGCAAGCCGUGCUGCAGGCAGCGCCUGGGCAGUAAAGCGGCCAAGUGCUGGGCACAGCCUGCGGGAAGGGUCCUUGGCAGGAGGCAGGGUUGGGCUGGGAAGGGCUCCAGCAGUGUGCUAGCACAGGCAAUUCCAUCUCAGAGCCACGCGUUCCACGUUUCUGGGCAUGCUUUGGGUGUAUGGG